GGAUUGAGUUUUAGGACAAAUUGUGUGUGAAAUGGAUAGAUUACCCUUUUUUUAAUUUUUUUCUUCUUCUUCCCUUUCCCUUUCCUUUCCCUUUCCCUUUCUCUUCACCGUAAAACCAUAACUUAAAGACAGAAAAAAAAGAUCAUCCAAUCUCUAGCCUCUCAAUCUCUCUAAUCUCUUUCAAACUCCCUUUCUCUCCAUCUCUUUUACGAUUCCAUAGCUAAUUUUGAUCGAGUUCUCGUGAUGUCCGGUGGAAGAUGGUCUUUUCCUUGAUUUUAUGUGAGGAUGGAAGUCAUGAAUCUGCAACUUGAAGACUUUCCUUCUCCUUGGUUUUGUUCUUUUUAUUUUGUAAUCUUCAUUGUAAAUCCUAUUUGUAUUUUUAAUUUGUAAAGCUAACCAAAGUCAUCUCUCUAAAGAUA